rnacentral:rRNA from 1 species
UGCCAGCCGCCGCGGUAAUACGGAGGGUGCGAGCGUUAAUCGGAAUUACUGGGCGUAAGGCGCGCGUAGGCGGCUUUGUAAGUCGGAUGUGAAAGCCCCGGGCUCAACCUGGGAAUUGCAUUCGAUACUGCAGAACUAGAGUAUGGUAGAGGGAAGUGGAAUUCCGGGUGUAGCGGUGAAAUGCGUAGAUAUCCGGAGGAACACCAGUGGCGAAGGCGGCUUUCUGGACCGAUACUGACGCUGAGACGCGAAAGCGUGGGGAGCAAACAGGAUUAGAUA